UACGUAGGGGGCAAGCGUUGUCUGGAUUUAUUGGGCGUAAAGAGCGUGUAGGCGGCCUGACAGGUCUGCUGUGAAAACUCGAGGCUCAACCUCGAGAUGUCGGCGGAAACCGUCUGGCUAGAGUCCGGAAGAGGAGAGUGGAAUUCCUGGUGUAGCGGUGAAAUGCGCAGAUAUCAGGAAGAACACCUAUGGCGAAGGCAGCUCUCUGGGACGGUACUGACGCUGAGACGCGAAAGCGUGGGGAGCGAACAGG
rnacentral:rRNA from 1 species